UCUUCCACAAUGGGCGCAAGCCUGAUGGAGCAACGCCGCGUGGGUUAAGAAGGUCUUCGGAUCGUAAAACCCUGUUGUUAGAGAAGAAAGUGCGUGAGAGUAACUGUUUACGUUUCGACAGUCUAUAACCAGAAAGCCACGGCUAAUUACGUUCCAGCAGCCGCGGUAAUACGUAGGUGGCAAGCGUUAUCCGGAUUUAUUGGGCGUAAAGGGAACGCAGGCGGUCUUUUAAGUCUGAUGUGAAAGCCUUCGGCUUAACCGGAGUAGUGCAUUGGAAACUGGGAGACUUGAGUGCAGAAGAGGAGAGUGGAACUCCAUGUGUAGCGGUGAAAUGCGUAGAUAUAUGGAAGAACACCAGUGGCGAAAGCGGCUCUCUGGUCUGUAACUGACGCUGAGGUUCGAAAGCGUGGGUAGCAAA
rnacentral:rRNA from 1 species